UGGGGAAUUUUGGACAAUGGGCGAAAGCCUGAUCCAGCCAUGCCGCGUGAGUGAAGAAGGCCUUCGGGUUGUAAAGCUCUUUUAGUCGGAAAGAAAGAGUUGCAAUGAAUAAUUGUGAUUUAUGACGGUACCGACAGAAAAAGCACCGGCUAACUACGUGCCAGCAGCCGCGGUAAUACGUAGGGUGCGAGCGUUAAUCGGAAUUACUGGGCGUAAAGGGUGCGCAGGCGGUCUGUCAAGUCAGAUGUGAAAGCCCCGGGCUUAACCUGGGAACUGCGUUUGAAACUACAAGACUAGAGUGCAGCAGAGGGGAGUGGAAUUCCAUGUGUAGCAGUGAAAUGCGUAGAUAUGUGGAAGAACACCGAUGGCGAAGGCAGCUCCCUGGGUUGACACUGACGCUCAUGCACGAAAGCGUGGGGAGCAAACA
rnacentral:rRNA from 1 species